UUGAGAUUUCAUCGCGCUUUUUUGUUAUUUUAGCGGAGCAUAUCAAUAACUGACACGCACAGUGAUUUGUUGCAUGGAAAUUUGUCUUACCUUUAAAUAAAAAUUCCGAUUAUUCGUGACAAAAUUAACACAGAAAAUUGUAAAAAAUGGGUCAGCAAUAUACGAACAAUAAUAUAUGAUUAUUUAGUUUAAAUUAAAUUUACAUUUAGAUGAUGCGACAUUCUAAAUGUAAUUUAAAAUGGUAUUGAUUCUAUUAAAAAGUUUUAGAAUUUAUCAGAUUUUUUAAAACUUCUACAUGAAUUUUAAUAUUUUUUAUAAUUUCUAUAUAAUAUUCUAUAUAAUUUCCAUAUAAUUCACAAACUAAAAAAAUUUCUUAUAUUUUUUUAUACAAACUAAAGAGCACACAGAAAUGCUGAGAAAUGUCUUUUCUAAUAUUUUUGGUAUAUGUGAAAUAUUUCAAAGUUUUAGUUUUCUCGUUCUAUAAUUUUCGAAACUAACUUGUAAAAUUUGUACAUGUUUAAAGUUAAAUCUGUUUUCUUUUAGAAAUCUUUAAAAUUUGAAAAAUUCUUCAAAAUAUAAGAUAUUGAAAAUUUUUUUCAGUAAAGACUUUUAAUACAAUAUUCUUCAUAUAUAAAUUAUAAUUGUAUGUGAAAUUGUGACAAUUACGAGAUAAUUUAUUGCACAAUUCAAAUUAGCCGUGUUGCAGCGCCUUUCAAUUACCUUAAUAUGUAGUCGAUAUCUACGCAAGAUGUCGCUAUCUGUACAUUUGCGCAAAUAGCAUCGAUUCCAGAGGCGACUGAUCUAUUUGAUCAUAGACUUGGCCGGCUUGACAAAUUUGUAGACCCUUUUUACAGUUACUCGUAUAAAUCAGAAGAAUAGACAAAUAUUACUGGAUCGUCUUUCGAGAGUCAUGUAUCGUCGAUAAGCCGCAAGGACGCUUUCCGACGAGCUGCAAGAUUAACGUGCAUUUCUUUGGAAAAAUCUUCUUUCUACAAGAGACUUUUUUUUUAAAAAAAAAAAGGGUCCAAGGACGUAUCGUCCAAGGUACAUUCUCCGAUCUUGGCAGAAAUUCGAGCUCUCCCUCUCUUUCCUGUCCAACAACAAAACGAUGGCGAGCUGGAAUCGCGUACGCAAUGGAACGAGGUAAGAGCGGAAAACAGGCUCCCACGAAUUCCCCCGACGUUCAUUGUAAAACUGUGAAGGAAAGAUUUGCGGGGGUAGAGGGGCUGAGGAAGACGGUUUCUCGGUCGUGCCAGUGACAGCUACGAGAUCAGUUCGAGCGUGAUACACACGUGUGAGUUAGAUUUUUCUCACGAAAGACCGGGAAACAUCAGGCAGAAAUGCAGAGUUUUUUUUUCUUCCCAUAUAAAAUUGGGCAAACAAGAUAAAGAAUUGAAAUAUCAAUUGUAUCGUACGAACUUGCCAAUUAUUUCAUCAAAAUAAAAUGUCGGAUUUUUAAAAAACAAAUAUUAAGUAUUACAUCUCUCAAAACAUUGUCAAAAAUAUACAAAUUUUAUAGAUUGCUCUGUCGUUACCUUUAAAUAUCUCUGUAAAAUUUGAGCACAAUUCUUUUAUUAGUUUAAAAGUUUUAUUGGUUUAAUUUUUUGUUUGCUCUUGAUUCUCAUGUAAAAUCGCGUUUUAUACUUAAUUUGCAAAUUUGAAGAAGCAGUUUUAUGAAUUAAAUUAAAUUUUGUGCAUAUAUAUUAAUAAAACUCUAAUAGACAUUCAUUCAAAAGCUCACUUGAAUCUACUUACUCGUUUAUUUACUUAGAAUUGCAACAAAAUACGAGCUCGUAUUAUGGAACUUUUCGGACUCGAUCGUAAUUUUAUUUAUUUCCCAAAGUCUUAUUGCGUUUUUUUUUAGGAAAAAUUAAAACAAUUUUGAUUGAAAUCCAUUACAAAACAAUUCCAUAACACGCGCCAUAAUCGUUUGCAUUGCAUAAAAAAUUGUAAGCCAAAUUAUUCAUUGCUUUGUUCAAGGCCAAAAUUUGGCCAAAAUUAUUCGCAAUCAACAUUUUUUGAUUAGGAAAAAAACCUAAAAAGCAUGCAAUUUUUUAAUUUCGAUGACUUCUAGCUAGUACUAUAUAGCCAAAAUUGUCUUCAUUAAAAUAUGCAUCACUAGCAUCAGUAGAUUUUCCUUAACAUUGAUGAUAUUAUAUACAAGUAAUAUAUAUUGCAUUUAUUUAAAUUGUGUCGCAGCUUCUGGCGUAAGUAGGAAAUGCAUUUUGUAACAAAGGAUGUAUCAAAAGGGGCAGCUGUGAAUAAUUAAUACUCUCGAUACAGCCUCGUGCCGCUUCGAUAACAAUAUACAAUGGAAGGCGAGGCGAGGACCCCGUGCAAGAUAUUCGACCAUGUGCGCACUUACGGGUUCACAUAGGUUCACAUACGGGCGUUUACCACUCUACACAUCAUAUGGUCGACUUAUGAAUGGUAUCUGCACACGUUCCCACGUCACUGAAUGAGCCUCAGGUCCCUCCGGCGUCCAUCCGGCGGCAUAUCGUAACCGCCUCUAUUCCACGCGUAGAUCGUCCAAUUCUCAUCUCGUUUCUUCCCCUCUUCUUCCCGUAUUACUUUAAUUCAGCUCUCGUUCGAAUUAUAUGCCAUUGAAGCGUAUGUGAUAGAUGCCCGCGUGUGAUAGUAGAUUGCCAAGUAUUCGAAAGAUAAUAAUUGGAAGAUGCAAACCCGUAAUCUCAAGGCAUCAGAAAUUUAUACUGGCUAAUGAUUCGGCAGCAAAUAAUUGCGUGCACGUUUGAAGCGAGUCGUAAUUACAACUUAAAUGCUGAAAAAAGAGUUGUUAACUUAAUUAAUGUUCAUUUCCACCAAUUUAACUUAUUCUUUUAUCCUUUUUGCAGUUCUAAUUCUUAGAACUGCAAAAAAAAAUUAAAAGUUAAACCGAGAUCAAAAAGUUAAUCUGCACUGGUGGAAAUGAACAUAAAUUUUCAGCUUGAACUUUAAACUUCUUCGGUUCAAGUACAUCCAUGUGUUUAAAUUAAGUAUACAAAUGACGAGAUCAAUUUAAAACCCUCUGCUUAUUUCUGCAUCGCUAUUUCUCGGCGAAUUCUAAUGCAAUAUUUAUGCGAUCGAGAGAGUCAUCGAAUCAACUCAUUUUCAAUUCUUUCAAUCGGCGCUCCUCCCCACCCCCCUCCCCCUCGGACUGCGAGACUUCGAGCUCCGAGCGAAACGCGACGCAAUCGCGGUCGCGUCAUCAAAUGUACGCAUACAUUGGCCUCGGCGGGAAACAGGUGUCGGCUCGUAGCCGUUGCCACGGUGGCCGGCUUAGAUUGCGGCACUGACAGAGACGGCACCGGACGGACACGACGGCGGACACCUGCACGCCACUGAUUGCACGUAAGAUCGCGGCGGUAUCCUUCCCGGGGUACCUAUCCUGUGGCUCUUUCACGCCGUGUACCUCGCCUUUCCCGUGGCUCCCCCGUUCUCCCCAUUCCUCCGCUCUGGCUGCCAGUAAUUUGACAUCCCGCGAUACUCCCAUGAUCGAUCCUCCCACGGAACGCGGAGAAGCGGAACUCCAAGGAUGUGCCCACGUAUGUGCGCUCACGUACGAGA